rnacentral:tRNA from 1 species
GCGCUCGUAGCUCAAUUGGAUAGAGCACCGGUCUUCGGAACCGGGGGUUGUGGGUUCGAUUCCCUCCGGGCGCACCA